rnacentral:rRNA from 1 species
UACGUAGGUGGCAAGCGUUGUUCGGAAUUAUUGGGCGUAAAGGGCGCGUAGGCGGCUUGUUAAGUCGGCUGUGAAAGCCCGGGGCUCAACCCCGGAGGGUCAGCCGAUACUGGCAGGCUAGAGUACGGAAGAGGUAGCUGGAAUUCCCGGUGUAGCGGUGAAAUGCGUAGAGAUGUGGAGGAACACCAGUGGCGAAGGCGACUCUCUGGUCUGUAACUGACGCUGAGGAGCGAAAGCGUGGGGAGCAAACAGG